UUUUUUGGCGGCCCGAGCGGGAGGGCUCGCGCCCUGCCGGUUUCCUCAGGGGUGUACCGGUCUUCCACCCCGUUCGGGCUGCCGCCUUC
rnacentral:antisense_RNA from 2 species